UCUUGGUCAUUUAGAGGAAGUAAAAGUCGUAACAAGGUUUCCGUAGGUGAACCUGCGGAAGGAUCAUUACCGAAUUGUCAAACGGGUUGUUGCUGGUCCUUGAAAGGGGACAUGUGCACGCUCUGUUUACACAUCCACUCAUACCUGUGCACCCUCCGUAGUUCUAUGGUCUGGGAGACCUUGUCUUCCUGCCGUGGUUCUACGUCUUUACACACACACUGUAACAAAGUCUUAAGGAAUGUAUGCAGCGUCUAACGCAAUACAAUACAACUUUCAGCAACGGAUCUCUUGGCUCUCGCAUCGAUGAAGAACGCAGCGAAAUGCGAUAAGUAGUGUGAAUUGCAGAAUUCAGUGAAUCAUCGAAUCUUUGAACGCACCUUGCGCCCCUUGGCUAUUCCGAGGGGCAUGCCUGUUUGAGUAUCAUGAACACCUCAACUCUCAUGGUUCGCCGUGAUGAGCUUGGACUCUGGGGGAUUUGCUGGCCUGCGGUCAGCUCCCCUCAAAUGAAUCAGCCUCCCAGUGUUUGGUGGCAUCACGGGUGUGAUAAAUAUCUACGCUCGUGGUUGCCUGCCAGGUAACCUUUGGUGACAAAGGUUUGCUGGAGCUUACAGAUGUCUCUCC
rnacentral:rRNA from 1 species